GAAAUUUGAAAUUUUAAUUAAGAUAGAGAAAAUGUGUAAUGAUCGAUUAAAAAUAAUUAAAUAUUGAGUUGAUAAUGGCCUGUGAAAUAAUUAAAUAUUUUUGGGAAUAAUAAUUAAAUGAUCGAUUAUUAAUAUUUUUUGCGAUAAUAGAUAAAUGUUGAAAAAUUAAAAUGAAAGUAUGGAAAAAUUAAAUGCGAAAGAAAUUUGAAAUUUUUUAGUAAGAUUAAAAUUUAAAAAUAGAUUAUUAAUAUUUUUUGUGAUAAUAAAUAAAUUAAGAAAAAUUAAAAUGAAAGUAAGAAAGUGUGGGAAAAUGAAAUGUAAAAGAAAUUUAAAUAUGACUUCCAUCAUCCAUGGCUUACAUGUGAUGUCAUCAUUCAUGCAAUAAAGUUGUAGAGAAAAUGUUAUUUAAUUCGGACCAAUGAAAAGCUAACACUUGGGGCAUCCAUUCAAUAAAGUUGAAAGAGUGAAUACUUAAUUUGUUAGUUACAAAAAUGACCUUUUAUUAGUGCAAAUAAAUUUUGGUGAAAGGGUAAUUUAGGCAAUUUGGUCAAUCUAUUAUUAAUGAAUAGAUAGUAGAUUUCAUAAGCCUAAACUGAAACUAAGAGAAACAGAAAUGCAUACCAUGCAAGAGUAUAGAUAGAUUUCCAUUUGGAAAAUAGUCACAAACCAAAAGCUUCUCAUCCUUCUAAUAAUAAUAAGCGCGGAGUGGAACGACUGGCAUGACCUUUUUAGACUAUUUGAAUCUAUCUCACAACAAUUUUAAUGGAAAAUCCCAACUGGAACACAACUUCAAAGUUUUGAUGCGUCUAGCUACUUUGGAAAUCCAAACUUGUGCGGAGCUCCUCUAAACAAUUGUACCGCAGAAGAAGAAAAUCCCAAAAGUGCCACACCAACAAGAAGGAAUGAAGAUGAGGACUCUAUAAGAGAAUCAUUAUAUCUAGGCAUGGGAGUUGGGUUUGCAGUAGGUUUCUGGGGGAUAUGUGGUUCUUUGUUUCUGCUUAGAAAAUGGAGGCACGCAUAUUAUCGGUUUGUUGAUAGAGUUGGGGACCAGAUCUAUGUAACUUUCAUGGUAAUGUUGAAUAGUUUCAAGAGAAAUUAAGCCUCAGUUAACUAAGGUGAAUUUGUAUGUGGAAGAUCUUGCAUUCUUAUGCAAAUUGUGGAAAUAAUUUUUUCCAAAGGAUCCAAUAUCAUUAUAUCAAUACUGUUGCUUUUGAAUUCAUCUUUCAUCUGUUGUAAUAGUUUUGUUCAUAUUGAAAAUCAGUAGUCAGGGAAUUGUUGCAUUAAUGUUUUUGUUGAGGCUUGUUCUCACCUCAAGUUUUAUGUAUCUCUCUCCUUAAAUUCUAUGUAAAAUGUAGUGUUUUGUACAUUAUUAAGCAUAUUAUGUAUUUGUCAUCAGAAGUUAUAAAAUGUGAAAUUGCUAUCAA